rnacentral:rRNA from 1 species
GACGAACGCUGGCGGCGUGCUUAACACAUGCAAGUCGAACGGUAAGGCCCCUUCGGGGGUACACGAGUGGCGCACGGGUGAGUAACACGUGAGCAACCUGCCCUUGACUCUGGAAUAACAGUUGGAAACAGCUGCUAAUACUGGAUAUUCAUCGUCUCCUUCCUGGGGGGUGGUGGAAAGCUCCGGCGGUCAGGGAUGGGCUCGCGGCCUAUCAGCUUGUUGGUGAGGUAAUGGCUCACCAAGGCUUCGACGGGUAGCCGGCCUGAGAGGGCGACCGGCCACACUGGGACUGAGAUACGGCCCAGACCCCUACGGGAGGCAGCAGUGGGGAAUAUUGCACAAUGGGCGCAAGCCUGAUGCAGCAACGCCGCGUGCGGGAUGACGGCCUUCGGGUUGUAAACCGCUUUCAGUAGGGACGAAGGGUGACUGACGGUACCUACAGAAGAAGGACCGGCUAACUACGUG